UAGCUCAUUGGUAGAGCACUAGCCUAUCAUGCUUAAAGCCCUGGGUUCGAUGCCCAG
rnacentral:tRNA from 1 species